rnacentral:rRNA from 1 species
AUUGAACGCUGGCGGCAGGCUUAACACCUGCAAGUCGAACGAGCGGCGGACGGGUUAGUAAUGUCUGGGAACCUGCCUGAUGGAGGGGGAUAACUACUGGAAACGGUAGCUAAUACCGCAUACCAUCAGAUGUGCCCAGAUGGGAUUAGCUAUUAGGUGGGGUAAUGGCUCACCAAGGCCACGAUCCCUAGCGGGUCUGAGAGGAUGACCAGCAACACUGGAACGGAGACACGGUCCAGACUCCUACGGGAGGCAGCAGUGGGGAAUAUUGCACAAUGGGCGCAAGCCUGAUGCAGCCAUGCCGCGUGUGUGAAGAAGGCCUUCGGGUUGGAAAGCACUUUCAGCGAGGAGGCGUUACUCGCAGAAGAAGCACCGGCUAACUCCGUGCCAGCAGCCGCGGUAAUAC